rnacentral:rRNA from 1 species
UGGUAAUGAGGAAGGAGCUACGGCUCCGCUUCAGGAUGGGCCCGCGUCCCAUUAGCUGGUUGGUGAGGUAAAGGCCCACCAAGGCAACGAUGGGUAUCCGGCCUGAGAGGGUGAACGGACACAUUGGGACUGAGAUACGGCCCAAACUCCUACGGGGAGGCAGCAGCUAAGAAUCUUCCGCAAUGGACGAAAGUCUGACGGGAGCGACGCCGUGUGAAUGAAGAAGGCCGAAAGGGUGUAAAAUUUUUUUUGCAGAUGAAGAAUAAGAAGAAGAGGGAUGCCCUCCUUGAAA